AAUACAUGCAGUCGAGCGAACUUUUAGGGAGCUUGCUCCCCAUGUUAGCGGCGGACGGGUGAGUAACACGUGGGCAACCUGCCUAUAAGACUGGGAUAACUUCGGGAAACCGGAGCUAAUACCGGAUAACAUAUUUCACCACAUGAUCUCAUAUUGAAAGACGGCUUUUAGCUAUCACUUAUAAAUGGGCCCGCGGCGCAUUAGCUAGUUGGUGAGGUAAUGGCUCACCAAGGCAACGAUGCGUACCCGACCUGAAAGGGGGAUCGGCCACCUGGGGACUGAACCCCGUCCCAAACUCUUAGGGAGGGCAGCAUAAGGAAAUUUUCCCAAUGGAAGAAAGUCUGGAGGAACCACGGCCGGGGAAGGAAGAAGGGCUACCGCUAAAAACCUUUGUUGUUAGGGAAAAAACAA
rnacentral:rRNA from 2 species